rnacentral:lncRNA from 1 species
GUCGAAAUGCACCUCAUGCACUCUAAUUAGCACGUCAAAUUAGUCUCUCCGUUUCAGAGGUGUAGGGCCUUUGUGGAGCCUUCUCAAUAAAAUAAUUUGCCACUCUUGAAGGUUAGACAUUCUCUUCUAUCAAUGUACACAUAAAGGUUUUGUUUUGCUUUGCUUGUUGUGAAUUAAAAUGGGGAGAAAAUGAUGUGUUAGCUAUCACCCAGUCAUGUGUCUUUUUAGUCAUAGGUUAGCUUUUCAAGACACUUCCUGCAUCUCUGACCUGUUGCACCUCUGUUAUCUUGGCACCUCUGUUAUCUUAGCAGCAAGCACCUGCCUCAGCUGACCCUUGAGCCAUAACCCAUAAGCUCCUGAAAAGUACAUCAAGUCUAAAGUGAACCAGCUAACUCAUUAAGACUGGAAUCAUGAGCAACAAUGGAGCAGACCUAACCUUUGGUUACAUCUCCUGUUUUGUAGCUAUCCUUUUGUUUGGCUCAAAUUUUGUGCCACUUAAAAAAUUUGAUACUGGUGAUGGAAUGUUUCUCCAGUGGGUUCUUUGUGCUGCCAUAUGGUUGGUUGCCUUGGUUGUCAAUCUGAUAUUACAUUGUCCAAAGUUUUGGCCUUUUGCAAUGCUUGGGGGCUGCAUUUGGGCAACAG